CGCGUAUGCUUAACACAUGCAAGUCGAACGGAAACGAAACUAGCUGCUAGUAGCGUCGAGUGGCGACGGGUGAGUAACGCGUAGGAAUCUGCCUGAUAGUGGGGGAUAGCCCGAAGAAAUUCGGAUUAAUACCGCAUAAUCUAUUCGUAGUAAAGUGGGGGACUUUCGAGCCUCACGCUAUCAGAUGAGCCUGCGUAAGAUUAGCUUGUUGGUAGGGUAAAAGCCUACCAAGGCAACGAUCUUUAGCUGGUCUGAGAGGAUGAUCAGCCACAUCGGGACUGAGACACGGCCCGAACUCCUACGGGAGGCAGCAGUGGGGAAUAUUGGACAAUGGGGGCAACCCUGAUCCAGCAAUACCGCGUGUGUGAAGAAGGCCUGAGGGUUGUAAAGCACUUUCAAUUGUGAAGAAAAGUUAACGGUUAAUAACCGUUAACCUUGACGUUAACUUUAGAAGAAGCACCGGCUAACUCCGUGCCAGCAGCCGCGGUAAUACGGAGGGUGCAAGCGUUAAUCGGAAUUACUGGGCGUAAAGCGUGCGUAGGCGGUUUAUUAAGUCAGAUGUGAAAGCCCCGGGCUUAACCUGGGAACUGCAUUUGAAACUGGUCAACUAGAGUAUGGUAGAGGAAAGUGGAAUUUCUGGUGUAGCGGUGAAAUGCGUAGAUAUCAGAAGGAACAUCAAUGGCGAAGGCAGCUUUCUGGAUCAAUACUGACGCUGAGGUACGAAAGCGUGGGUAGCAAACAGGAUUAGAUACCCUGGUAGUCCACGCCGUAAACGAUGAUAACUAGCCGUUGGGGGGAUUUACCCCUUAGUGGCGAAGCUAACGCGUUAAGUUAUCCC
rnacentral:rRNA from 1 species